rnacentral:misc_RNA from 1 species
GUGAAUUAAACAUGCUUGGUGUCUUCGCUUCGGCAAGGCCCUUGCUUAAAUCACAUCCUAACACCUGUGAACUGUAAGACGUAUGAUGAGGUCUUUGGCCAAGUCAUCGUCUGCCCAUUUUUAACAAACAAUUAAUGUAACAAACGUAGUCUUAUCAUAACCUAAUA